GCUUUUUCUUUUUGUAUGGUUAAUAGUUUAGAUACUAUCACCCGUGAUAUAGGUGACCAAAUUGAUACCAGAUGCAAAGGGCACUACAUGCAAUCAACGACUUGAGAGAGUCAGUGGAACGGAGCAUACACAUAUUUUGCGGGUUCCCUUUAGGACAGAAAAAGGAAUUCUUCGAAAGUGGAUAUCAAGAUUUGAUGUAUGGCCUUACUUGGAGAAAUUUGUAGAGGAUCAAAUGAUAAAGAUGCGAGCAGACACCACUCAACCUGAUUGAACUCGAACAAUGACAGAUGAGGAAAUUUGUGCAAAAGUUCUCAAAGUCAAAUCAGGCUACAUUAAGGGCUGUGGUUUUGGCUCUAGACCACCACCAUUAAGGUUCUCUCUUUCUUCGAUUAGUGAAAUGUCUGAAAAGAAUAAAGAAUUGCAAGAACAGCUUCAAGAGACCCAAGAACUUGUAGGAACUCAACAACAAAAGAUCGAUGCGCAAAAUGAGGUCAUCCAAAGAUUGGAGGAGCAAGCCAAAAAGUUUGAGGAGUUUAUGGCUAAUUUUUUCAGGCAACAUCCAUUAGCUUAGUAUUCUUAGUGAACUUAAACUUAGAGAAAUGUUUCUUUGAUCGUGUUGCAUUUGUUAUUGCUUUAGACUAGCAUUGUUACUUAUGGUAGAAACUUGCUUGAUUUAUUUAUUUUAAUUGUUUUGAUGUACUGUGGUGACAAUUAAUGACAAUUAUUUAUAUUUUGAGUGUU